rnacentral:lncRNA from 1 species
AAAAGACAUAUGACAUCUAGAUGUACUUCUUUCAUAUACUCAGAAACGAAAUUAUCAAAGCUGGGCACCUUGACAGUUCCAAAAAAUAAGUUUUGUAUCCAUAAAUAUAAAAAGUGAUAAAAUUCCUCAACAAGAUAGAAUCAACAGCUAGUUUCGGCACUAAUUGAAUCCAUACCUCCAAACUGCUCAGUUACCAUGGUUGUAUCGACUUGCAAACUGAUGCUAGCAGGAUCUCUA